AACAUCAUUUUUAUCGCUCACACUGACCCCAUACUCUUUUUUUAGAGAGGGAAGACGCAAUUUUCGAGUUCCUUCUGGUUUUCGGGGUCGGUAAGAAGCGUAGACAGAAUCUCAAGACCGUUGCUGGGCGCCUGAUGUUGAUUUUUUUCAUAAAAAGAGGAUACAUUUGGAAUCAGCUGUUUCUACAAUU
rnacentral:snoRNA from 1 species